UGCGGCUGGAUCCCCUCCUUUCUGGAAAAUGCUUGGUUCAUCACCGCAGCCUUCGGGUUGUGAGCAGAUGCCAAGACAUAAACAGUAGCUGAUUGAAUUCAAGCACCCACACUUAUCGGCUGUUGAUUGAGCAAGAAGAGUGAAGACAGUUGGGUCUGUAGCUCAGUCGGUUAGAGCACCGUCUUGAUAAGGCGGGGGUCGUUGGUUCGAAUCCAACCAGACCCACCAACUUACCCAAGAUAGCGAAACUGAUCGAUGAGAGAUCAGGCAAGCGAUUCUCAAACGGGGGAUUAGCUCAGCUGGGAGAGCACCUGCUUUGCAAGCAGGGGGUCGUCGGUUCGAUCCCGUCAUCCUCCACCACCUACUCUUUUUAGCAAGGUUUGAAAGCAAACCUUAAGGUCUGGCAGCGGCAAGCUGUUUGGAUAUUAAGGUUUGCAGUUGAACUGCAAAUGCUCUUUAACAAUUCGUAGAGUCGAAAUAAUCAGCAUUGCUGACGGAAAGUACUUCGAUGUACACCGUGCCGUCAGCAAUGAUCUUGAUUGCGUCAAAACAGACAUUCAUUGAAAGAUAUGAAUGAUCGGCAUAACGCGAAGUCACAUACUUAAACCGGUAUGUGACGCUCAAACAGUCCUUGACCGACGCCUUUAGCAUUGGGCGUCAAAGUUAUAGGGUCAAGUGACUAAGUGCAUGUGGUGGAUGCCUUGGCGACUACAGGCGAUGAAGGACGUGAUAGCCUGCGAAAAGCUUCGGGGAGCUGGCAAAUUAGCUUUGAUCCGGAGAUAU
rnacentral:misc_RNA from 1 species